UAUGUGAUCGUCUCUCGCAUAUCAAUAAGCGGAGGAAAAGAAACUAACAAGGAUUCCCCUAGUAACGGCGAGUGAAGCGGGAAGAGCUCAAAUUUGAAAUCUUAAAGGGUUUCCCUUUACGAAUUGUAGUUUAAAGAAGUGUUUUCUGUUGAGGUUUUGGUAAAAGUUCUUUGGAAUAGGACAUCAUAGAGGGUGAGAAUCCCGUAUUUGACCUUUACUUUCAACUUUGUGAUACACUUUCAAAGAGUCGGAUUGUUUGGGAAUGCAGUCCAAAAUGGGUGGUAAAUUUCAUCUAAAGCUAAAUAUUGGCGAGAGACCGACUAGCGAACAAGUACCGUGAGGGAAAGAUGAAAAGAACUUUGAAAAGAGAGUUAAACAGUACGUGAAAUUGUCAAAAGGGAAGCGUUUGACACCAGUGUUGUUUUUCUGAAAAUCAAUUAAAGAACUGUUUAUGCUAAGCUGUUUAGACUUUAUCAGCUAAUCUGUUUAGUUUUGAGCUUUUCUUUAAUGCACUUUUCAGUUAACAAGUCAACAUCAAUUUCUUUUGCUGUAAAAAAGCUUGAGGAAGGUGGCUUGAGAUUCGUCUUAAGUGUUUAUAGCCUCUUGCCUAUGCAGUCGGAGAGAUUGAGGUCUGCAGCGUAGAUCCUUCGGGGCUAAAUGCAUUUGUGCUAAGUUAUAGCAUUUUAUAGACAACUUGUUGACUAUGAUUUGUCUUGUAGCUUACUCGCUUAUGUUAUUUUACCUACGCUUAGGAUGUUGAACGCGCACAGAGUCUC
rnacentral:rRNA from 1 species